GCUGGUGUAGUUCAGAGGUUAGAACAUAGUAAUAGCCUAAGCGGCGCUCAUACCGCCGAGGUCGCGGGUUCAAAUCCCGCCACCAGCA
rnacentral:tRNA from 1 species